rnacentral:rRNA from 1 species
UACGUAGGGUGCAAGCGUUGUCCGGAAUUAUUGGGCGUAAAGAGCUCGUAGGCGGUCUGUCGCGUCGGCUGUGAAAACCCGGGGCUCAACCCCGGGCCUGCAGUCGAUACGGGCAGACUAGAGUGUGGUAGGGGAGACUGGAAUUCCUGGUGUAGCGGUGAAAUGCGCAGAUAUCAGGAGGAACACCGGUGGCGAAGGCGGGUCGCUGGGCCGGAACUGACGCUGAGGAGCGAAAGCGUGGGGAGCGAACAGG